AAUAGAUACCCGGGUAGUCCAUGCCGUAAACGUUGGGAACUAGAUGUGGGGACCAUUCCACGGUCUCCGUGUCGCAGCUAACGCAUUAAGUUCCCCGCCUGGGGAGUACGGCCGCAAGGCUAAAACUCAAAGGAAUUGACGGGGGCCCGCACAAGCGGCGGAGCAUGCGGAUUAAUUCGAUGCAACGCGAAGAACCUUACCAAGGCUUGACAUAUACGAGAACGCCGUAGAAAUACGGAACUCUUUGGACACUCGUAUACAGGUGGUGCAUGGUUGUCGUCAGCUCGUGUCGUGAGAUGUUGGGUUAAGUCCCGCAACGAGCGCAACCCUCGUCGUAUGUUGCCAGCACGUAAUGGUGGGAACUCAUAUGAGACUGCCGGGGUCAACUCGGAGGAAGGUGGGGAUGAGGUCAAAUCAUCAUGCCCCUUAUGUCUUGGGCUUCACGCAUGCUACAAUGGCCGGUACAAAGGGCUGCAAUACCGCGAGGUGGAGCGAAUCCCAAAAAGCCGGUCUCAGUUCGGAUUGAGGUCUGC
rnacentral:rRNA from 1 species